GGAAGAAGAGACGAACUGUGAGGAGAGUAAACCAAGAAGAAAUCCACAGAUUUAGUUCUCAAGAAAAGCCUAGGCUUCUCGAGCCUUUGGAUUAUGAGACUGUCAUUGAAGAACUUGAAAAGACCUACCGGAAUGAUCCUCUUCAAGAUCUCCUGUUCUUCCCCAGUGAUGACUUUUCAGCAGCCACAGUUUCCUGGGAUAUCCGCACGUUGUACUCAACAGUACCUGAAGAUGCAGAGCACAAGGCAGAAAAUUUACUGGUGAAGGAGGCUUGUAAAUUUUAUAGUUCCCAGUGGCAUGUGGUAAACUACAAAUAUGAACAAUAUUCUGGAGACAUUCGACAGCUACCCCGCGAGGGUCCAUAGGAAGAUGCUGAAGAGAUAGAUGACUUCAGGCUAGAAUGGAAAAUGUAAGCCUUUACACACUAGGAAUAGAAAUCAGCACUAACUUGGAGAUCCCAGAAGAAAAAAGCAGCAUAAAAAUAUAUGAUGCCACUGAUUUCAUUAAUCCACUGGGUAAAAUACAGAGAUGUGUGACAUAUUAAAAAUUUUUACCAUGGUCGAUUUGAUAGAAAGAAGAUGUAAGGAAGAAAAAUUCAUAAGAGUAUAAAUUGUGACUAAAGAUCAAAUAAAGUGUGACCAGCUUAGCUGGGCUGAAAUAGAA
rnacentral:sRNA from 1 species